CCCAGGAAGAGGAAGACGUGAGUCUCUAAGAGCGGUGGGAAUAGGAACAUGAAGGAAGGCCCAAUUCUUCUUUGUCCAAACUCCAGUAUUGGAGAUAGAGAAUUGCUUCGUGUUUUCCUGAUGCCUCCUAUUCCUAUCGAUCUUAGGUACACCUUCCUCUUCCUUUUGGCA
rnacentral:pre_miRNA from 1 species